AUAUAAUUUAUGGCUAUAUUGCCAAAACGCCUAGAAAAGCGCCUAGAAGCGCCUAAGACCGAGUACUCCCGACUAGGCGCUAGGCAAUGGGUCACCGCCUAGAUUCCGCCUAGCGCCUAGCUGAACCUUGCUCGCUGACACAAGAGACUUCUAGAGGCAACAGAGACUUCUAGAGGCAUCACAGACAGAUAGGGAUCUCCUCCUCCCCACGCCAUGCGCUUCUUCUAGUGAGCCCUCACGCCAUGGAUAGGGAGCAACAUGAGAAGUUUGGAGGUCCACGUUGACGAGAGCAACAGUGGUGAGCCUCGUCGUGUUGUGUCCCGUCUUCAAUCCGUGGGCUUGAAGAUUUCCUGUUCGACUGCUGUUCUCGACAGCACAGUCAUUCCUCAACGUGCCUCUAAUUGAUGCAGGAUUAUCAACAACUAGUUUGGAAGUCUUGCAAGUUGUAUUUACCACAGGCUUUUCAACAUCAUCAACAGCUGGUUUGGAAACCUUGCAAGUUCAAUCUGCGACAGCAAUUGGUUUGGAAAUCUUGCAAGUUCUAUCUACCACCAACUUUAUCAACAUCAUCAACAACUGCUUUGAAAACCUUGCAAGUUCUAUCUACGACAGGUAAGCCACAGAUAUUCAGUUUUUUUACCAAUCAUUAGUUGCUAACUUUUUCACUUCUCCCCCACCCAGAUACAGUACAACUAAUUUUUUUCGUUUCCUACUGUUUAACCCGCAAUUAGCUACUGGUUUUGAAUCGAUGUCUGUUGAUUGUUCUUUCACUUAUUCCUCAUUAAAACAAGCAUCAUUAGUUUCUCUAUUUCAAACCAUUAAUUAGUAUUAUUCUUAUUUCUCCUCGAUAUGUAUAUACCAAACUCUACUUCAUCUCUUAUUGUUUGAUACAAAAAUCACAUACUAUUUACAAUCACCAACAUUUAAUUCAAUUAAAACAAAAAUAAUCACUUCCUUCAGUAUACUUUUUAUGUAUGCUUUCUAUUUAUGUUACAAGAACUUUUAGGUUACCUUAUAAUCCAUUUUAAAACCCCUGCAAAACUGUGAGGAAUUGCUUAGUAAAACACUCUGAUUUUUUUGUUUACUACUCAUUAGUUACUAAUGUUCUCAUUUCUAAAACUAUAUAUAGCAUGUCUCAUUUUUCUUGUGUCUUACUGUUUAACAUAUGGUCACAAACUAUUCUAAGACAUGAACAACUGAUUGGGACACCUUGCAAAUUCUAUCCACAGCAGGUUCGUUACUUUCCAAGAAAGGGACAAAAAGAAGACUGCAACCAACAUUUUCCAUCCCCUUUCCCCUCUUCUUCUUCGCUCAUUUUUGUUGCAUUUCCUUUGGGAAACAACCUCCAGAUAUCUGAUCUGCUGGGUUUGUGUUCUAUUCUUUUCUUUUCUUUUCCCCCUUCUUUUAUAGUUUCCUCAUAUUAGGUUGUGCAGACAAAGCAUUAGAAAAGAAUCAAUUUGUACACUUCGUCAGGCUUUGGCUCCAACAUGUCUUGUGAAUUUAGUGUAUAAACGAUAGAUAAAGGGUUGAAUUUGUGUUUUGAAUCCCCUGUGGCAUCUUCAUUUCGAAAAGACGUUGAGUAGUGUACCCCUGCUCCUUUAA